GUGCUCGCUUUGGCAACACACAUAUAAAAUUGGAACAAUACAGAGAUUAGCUUGGCCCGUGAGUAAGGAUGAUAUGCAAAUUUGUGAAACACUCCAUAUUAAA
ensembl:snRNA U6 U6 spliceosomal RNA